GGUUCCGCUUCGCUGGCGCCCGCCGGGCUCUUCCCCCGCCGAGGCCUGUGGUUUGUGGAGUCGAACUUCCCUGCCACCAGUGCCCGGUUAGCAGGGGCGCCAGCCUGGGCGCUUGCGCGGACGGCGGGCGUCGUCACCAUGGCAGCAUCCGCUGGAGGCCCAGAAACAUAACAACAAAGCCUGGAUGACAGCACGUCUGUUUACAGCAUGAUUUACAGAAUAUUUUAAGCCCACUGUGGGGACCUGCUGCUCAGGAAAAAAAAGAUUUCUUUCAAGAUAUUACUGUUCAUUGACAAGGCACCUGGUCACCCAAGAACUCUGAUGGAGAUGUGCAAAGAGAUUGAUGCUGUUUUCCUGCAUGCUUGCAUCUAUUCUGCAGCCCGUGGAUCAAAGGCAAUCCCUUUUCCGGGCACAUACCCAAAGGAAAUGAAAUCACCACUUUGUAAAGAUAUCUGCACUCCCAUGUUCAUUGCAGCAUUAUUUUCAGUAGCCAAGGAUCUUGGAGUGAAAAUAUACUGGAAUAUUUUCUGAGAAAUAGCCAGAUUACAGCAGAAGACGGUGCUGAGAUCACCUGGUAUCAUGCAGCUAACCACAAGGCACAAACAAAUGAGGCACUGAAAAAGACGAGAUUUCACCGUGUUGGCCAGACUGGUCUCGAACUCCUGACCUCAUGAUCCGCCUGCCUUGGCCUCCCAAAGUGCUGGGAUUACAGGUGUGAGCCACCAUGCCCGGCCAAGAACUUUACUUUUAUUAAGCCUGAUGCCUUUAACAGAAAACUCAGAUGAGUGGAUUGGUCACGUAAGAUGGCAGUGACAAAAACUUCAGUUUAAAAUGCCUUAUGGGUCUGUAUUGGCAUUCCUUCCCGCUGAUGAAAUUCUAGGAGCUUUUAGUAAAUUAAAGCUGCAUUUGCAUGAAGAAGCCAGAGAAAUUACUGACUGGUUUGAAGAUAAUGACAUGCAUGGUCGGAUAAGAAGACAUGCCAUGGAGUUGCUGUUUGACCAUCAGUAUUGUUUCCACCAAAUUUGUGAUCUGCAUAUAAGUGCAUGUGAAAUGGAUUUCCACGUACCCAAAACAGCAUAGAAACAUGGCACAGAAGAUCGGAAAAUUUAAUAGGGAAUACUCAUGCAGGUACUGCUCACAUGAUAGAGGCUGAUGUCCUUCUUCCAAGUGAUGGAUCAGAACACAGCCAGCCAAUUAUGGCCCAUCCCCCUGAAACAAACAGUGAUAAUACUCUACAGGAGUGGCUGACUGAAGUUAUGAAAAGCAAUAAAGGCAUCAAGCUGGAUUUCAAAAGAGUAGGAGGCCCAAAAGGAGUGGAGACAAGAGAGGUAGAAGCAUAGACAGAAGUACUGCCGUCUCUUAGGAAGAGAGAGGGAAAUGUGAGGAGGGGUUGGUGAGUGUUCUCCCCUCCAAUAUCCAUCUCCAAAAUUCAUAGCCUCCCAUUAUGAUAUUCACUACAAGUCUGGCAGCUGUAGAACCAUCCAUGAUGCUCUUGGAAAAUGUGAAGAGGCAUCUGAAGCGUCCUGUAUGGAUUAAUGCCGAUAUUCUUCCUGGUCCAAAUGGAAAUAGCAAAGUAAUAGAUGCAAAACCAUUUUUAGACACCGUGACAUCCUUCUUUCCAGACGUGACGUUUUCCCUGGGUUGGACAACAGGAUGGCAUCCUGAGAAAGUCAAUGAAGGGUACAGUUGGACAAUGGUGAAAGAGAUGGAAUAUAUAUGUAAUGAGCUAAGUCAGCCUGUAACGUUCCCUGUCAGAGCAGCAUUACUCAGGCAGUCUUGUUCUCAGUUACUUUGGCUGUUAAAGAAAUCAAACAGGUACAGCCUGACUAUUUGGACUGGAAAAAAUGAUAACUAUUCCGUUGAAGAUUUACUUUACAUUAGAGACCAUUUUGACAAAAAACAAGUUUUCUAUGACAUCUUGGAACCACAAAACCAUGAAUUUAAACAAGCCAUUGGAAUCAAAUUUAAUCUCUAAGAAGAAGAUUCUCAAUUAUUUCCUGUGUUUUGGUUUCAUAAUCCUUCUCUCCAUUGGUCUGAAUUAAUUACCAUAUAAAUUAUGGUUAUUGAUUGACGUUCCAAGUCAUCUAAUCAAGAAACGCUUAUUGUGUGCUUACUCUGUGGGCAUAUGUCCUUAUAAUAGUGCACUUACAUAAGAGAUUUGGAAACAAGAGAUUUAUUUACACAC
rnacentral:sRNA from 1 species